rnacentral:misc_RNA from 1 species
CUCUCUCUCUCUCUCUCUUUCUAGGCAGAUGUUGUUGAUAUGUCUGCAAACUACAUAUUGUCUUCUAUCCAUAUAAACCUAAUCAAAUACUAACUAAAAACUAAUUUCAAAAUGCAAAGGUUUUUCUAAACCAGGAAGUUUUGAUAUAAAUACGGCAAAAUUUCUCAUUUGUAUAGUGUCUUGAAGCUGUGCUCUAAAAUGAGGUCAAUACUAUAGACAAACAUUUGAGGUGGCUAAACUGGUUUCUUUGACUUGGAAUUUGCUCAGUGAUACUUUUAUGCCCAAAUUUUCCAUCAUUCCAUGUUCGCUGCUGCUAUGGAUUGGUUCUGCUUCUGUUAUUUUCAUCCUAGGCUACUGAGCUAGCACGAUCUACUGUUGGGCUUAUUCCAUGCUUUGCCAUGGAUAUUUCUAGAUGUGAUGGAUGUGCAUUUGUGUUCUUGGUAAGUACGCUUCUUGUUUUGCUGCUGUGCUGCUAUUUUUUAUGCUACUCUAUAACUUUGCAUUAAAAUCAAUCCUAGAAGCUUGCAAUGUUCAAAUUUAAGACUUUGUCAUUUGAUACUUUGAUUUUUAUGGUACUCAAGAAUAUUUUAUGAUUUGUGGAUUAGUCACUCUGAGUGAUAUAGGAGCUGCCUUUUGCUAUACAAUGUUUCUCACUGAAGUUAAAUUGAAAAAAGGGGUUGCACAAUCUUUUGAUCUAUUCAGAUGUCAUGUCUUGUUUUUUAACAUGAGAUUCGCUUAUGAAGGAAGCAUUGUAUAGUUCAACUUUAAGGCACCUGCCAACAAUCUGGGACAUUAUUUUAUUUUAUUUUUUUCCAAAACUUUUUCUCACAUAUUAUAUCUGAACCAUUAAUGCACACUUAGUUUUUCUGAGAGAUGCCCUCCAAGUUUCCUCACUGUUAUGGUUUUUCAAAUCCCAGCACUUCUAUUAAAUGAGCAACUAAAUCUUUUAUAUUCAAACACUGAUUCCUAUAUGAUGGAGAAUUCAUAUUGUAAGUUCUACAUUCCCUGUUGCCUUCUACUUAAUUGGUUUGAUUCUAAAUAGGAAGAUCAAGAUGCCUCAAGUUCUUUUUAGUUUUAUGUUCCUGAUACUAUUUAUUGGCAAAGGGGUGAUAGCGACUUCUUUCUCCUAUUCUUCAAAUGUCCAAUGGGCAAUGCAUUAGGCAUGUUCCGACUUUUUGUCUCCCUUGUUGUAGUGUAACAAAAACUGUUCUUUUAGGUCUGUUAACAUGUUUUUUUAACAUACCACAAUACCCAUAAUCCCAUAAAUCGAUGUGCAUGCCUCUCUAUCUUUAUCUCUCUUUACACAUUGACUUGGUUUUUCUCCUCUCUACUCCUUGGUUUAUCAGCUGCAUAUAUUAUAAUAUGUUAUGGACUGAAGGUCCUUGAACCAAAUUACUCAAAUCAAGAGGU